rnacentral:lncRNA from 1 species
GGCGGGCACAGGGUUUCUGAAGAGGUAGACCGGUGGGCGGUUUCGUCGGGUGUCUACCUCCAGGGGUCGUUCGUGAGCCAGAGAAACCCGGACUUAGGAAGGAAGGGGCCUGGCCACACCCCUUCCGCUCUUGGCUGUGCAGUGCCCUGGUUCCCGGCGCGUUCUCUGUCGUGAGCCAAGCAAGGAAGGUGGUCUUGAAGUGA